GGAGUCAGCUAAGCAGUCGCUGUAGUACUUAUUUAUAAGUACUGCGGAGGAAAGUCCGGGCUCUAUGGGCAAGGUGCCAGGUAACGCCUGGAGGAUUUGAGUCCAUGGAAAGUGCAACAGAAAGUAAACCGCCCAAAUUUUAAUUUGGGUAAGGGUGAAAAGGUGCGGUAAGAGCGCACCGCGCAGCUGGCAACAGGUGUGGCUAGGUAAACCCCACCUAGAGCAAGACCAAAUAGGGGGGCGUGGAGAAAUCCAGCGCAUGGCCCGUGCGGUCCCCGGGUAGGUUGCUCGAGGCUUGUGGUGACAUAAGCCCUAGAUGAAUGACUGCUCUCGACAGAACCCGGCUUAUCGGCUGGCUCCAUUU
rnacentral:RNase_P_RNA from 1 species